AGCGCAGGCGGUUUGUCAAGUCAGAUGUGAAAGCCCACGGCUCAACCGUGGAAGUGCAUUCGAAACUGGCAGACUUGAGUAUCAGAGGGGAAAGUGGAAUUCCCGGUGUAGAGGUGAAAUUCGUAGAUAGUCGGGGGGAAUACCGGUGGCGAAGGCGACUUUCUGGCUGAAUACUGACGCUGAGGCUCGAAAGCGUGGGAAGCAAACA
rnacentral:rRNA from 1 species